GAUGAAGAACGCAGCAAAAUGCGAUAAGUAAUGUGAAUUGCAGAAUUCAGUGAAUCAUCGAAUCUUUGAACGCACAUUGUGCCCGCCAGUAUUCUGGCGGGCAUGCCUGUUCGAGCGUCAUUUCAACCCUCAAGCACAGCUUGGUGUUGGGACUCGCGUUAAUUCGCGUUCCCCAAAUUGAUUGGCGGUCACGUCGAGCUUCCAUAGCGUAGUAGUAAAACCCUCGUUACUGGUAAUCGUCGCGGCCACGCCGUUAAACCCCAACUUCUGAAUGUUGACCUCGGAUCAGGUAGGAAUACCCGCUGAACUUAAGCAUAUCAAUAAGCGGAGGA
rnacentral:misc_RNA from 1 species